GACGAACGCUGGCGGCGUGCCUAAUACAUGCAAGUCGAGCGGACCACUUCGGUGGUCAGCGGCGGACGGGUGAGUAACACGUGGGCAACCUGCCUGUAAGACUGGGAUAACACCGGGAAACCGGUGCUAAUACCGGAUAAUCCUUUCCUUCACAUGAAGGAAAGCUGAAAGACGGUUUCGGCUGUCACUUACAGAUGGGCCCGCGGCGCAUUAGCUAGUUGGGGAGGUAACGGCUCACCAAGGCAACGAUGCGUAGCCGACCUGAGAGGGUGGUCGGCCACACUGGGACUGAGGCACGGCCCAGACUCCUACGGGAGGCAGCAGUAGGGAAUCUUCCACAAUGGACGAAAGUCUGAUGGAGCAACGCCGCGUGAGUGAAGAAGGCUUUCGGGUCGUAAAACUCUGUUGUCAGGGAAGAACAAGUACCGUUCGAAUAGGGCGGUACCUUGACGGUACCUGGCCAGAAAGCCACGGCUAACUACGUGCCAGCAGCCGCAGUAAUAC
rnacentral:rRNA from 1 species